GAUGAACGCUGGCGGCGUGCUUAAUACAUGCAAGUCGAACGGAGAACCUUUGUAGCAAUACGAGGGUUUCUUAGUGGCGAACGGGUGCGUAACGCGUUGGUGACCUGCCCCGAAGUGUGGGAUAACAGUUCGAAAGGAUUGCUAAUACCGCAUGUGGUUUUCCGGAUCAGAUGCCGGAUCUCUAAAGCAGUAAUGCGCUUCGGGGGGGACCUGCGUCCCAUCAGCUAGUUGGUGAGGUAACGGCCCACCAAGGCUACGACGGGUAGGGGACCUGAGAGGGUGGUCCCCCACACUGGCACUGAAACACGGGCCAGACACCUACGGGUGGCAGCAGUAGGGGAUAUUGGGCAAUGGGCGAAAGCCUGACCCAGCAACGCCGCGUGCACGAUGAGGGUCUUCGGAUCGUAAAGUGCUUUUCUGAGAGAUGAGAAAGGACAGUAUCUCAGGAAUAAGUCUCGGCUAACUACGUGCCAGCCGCCGCCGUAACAC
rnacentral:rRNA from 1 species